UGAAGAACUUGUUCAGAUUUGAUUUUCAACAUUGCAAUGAGUGGCGAACGGGUGAGUAACACGUGGGAAACCUACCUCUUAGCAGGGGAUAACAUUUGGAAACAAAUGCUAAUACCGUAUAAUAAUUAAAACCGCAUGGUUUUAGUUUAAAGAUGGUCUUGCUAUCACUAAGAGAUGGUCCCGCGGUGUAUUAGUUAGUUGGUGAGGUAAUGGCUCACCAAGACAAUGAUACAUAGCCGAGUUGAGAGACUGACCGGCCACAAUGGGACUGAGACACGGCCCAUACUCCUACGGGAGGCAGCAGUAGGGAAUCUUCCACAAUGGACGAAAGUCUGAUGGAGCAACGCCGCGUGUGUGAUGAAGGGUUUCGGCUCGUAAAACACUGUUGUAAGAGAAGAAUGACAUUGAGAGUAACUGUUCAAUGUGUGACGGUAUCUUACCAGAAAGGAACGGCUAAAUACGUG
rnacentral:rRNA from 1 species